rnacentral:rRNA from 1 species
CCUACGGGUGGCAGCAGUGGGGAAUAUUGCACAAUGGGGGAAACCCUGAUGCAGCGACGCCGCGUGAGUGAAGAAGUAAUUCGUUAUGUAAAGCUCUAUCAGCAGGGAAGAAAAUGACGGUACCUGAGUAAGAAGCCCCGGCUAACUACGUGCCAGCAGCCGCGGUAAUACGUAGGGGGCAAGCGUUAUCCGGAUUUACUGGGUGUAAAGGGAGCGUAGACGGCAGUGCAGGUCUGUAGUGAAAGUCGGGGGCUCAACCCCCGGACUGCUCUGGAAACUGUACGGCUUGAGUGCAGGUGAGGUAAGUGGAAUUCCUAGUGUAGCGGUGAAAUACGUAGAUAUUAGGAGGAACACCAAUGGCGAAGGCGGCUUACUGAGCUAUAACUGACGUUGAGGCUCGAAAGCGUGGGGAGCAAACAGGAUUAGAUACCCUGGUAGUC